CCUACGGGGGGCAGCAGUCGGGAAUAUUGCGCAAUGGAGGAAACUCUGACGCAGUGACGCCGCGUAUAGGAAGAAGGUUUUCGGAUUGUAAACUAUUGUCGAUAGGGAAGAAAAAAGACUGUACCUAUCAAGAAAGCUCCGGCUAACUACGUGCCAGCAGCCGCGGUAAUACGUAGGGGGCAAGCGUUAUCCGGAUUUACUGGGUGUAAAGGGAGCGUAGACGGCAGGGCAAGUCUGGAGUGAAAGCCCGGGGCCCAACCCCGGGACUGCUUUGGAAACUGCCAUGCUAGAGUGCUGGAGAGGUA
rnacentral:rRNA from 1 species